rnacentral:rRNA from 1 species
UGAACGCUAGCGGCAGGCUUAACACAUGCAAGUCGAGGGGUAUCACGCUUUCGGGCGUGAGAGACCGGCGCACGGGUGCGUAACGCGUACGCAAUCUACCUUUUGCAGAGGGAUAGCCCAGAGAAAUUUGGAUUAAUACCUCAUAGUAUAGAACAAUCGCAUGAUUGAACUAUUAAAGUCACAACGGCAAAAGAUGAGCAUGCGUCCCAUUAGUUAGUUGGUAAGGUAACGGCUUACCAAGACUACGAUGGGUAGGGGUCCUGAGAGGGAGAUCCCCCCACACUGGUACUGAGACACGGACCAGACUCCUACGGGAGGCAGCAGUGAGGAAUAUUGGACAAUGGGCGCAAGCCUGAUCCAGCCAUGCCGCGUGCAGGAUGACGGUCCUAUGGAUUGUAAACUUGCUUUUUGUACAGGAAGAACACCUCUACGUGUAGAGAUUUGACGGUACUGUAAGAAUAAGGAUCGGCUAACUCCGUGCCAGCA